ACAUUUUCUCAUACUUACCAUUGCAACUGUAAACACACAACCACAACCAGCUCCUAGCCUCCUUGAUCUUUCUUGACGACCGGAGAAAAUGGUGACUGUCGAGGAAGUUCGUAAGGCUCAGCGGGCAGAGGGUCCGGCCACAGUCUUGGCCAUUGGGACAGCAACUCCUCCCAAUUGUGUUGAUCAGGCUACCUACCCCGACUACUACUUUCGUAUUACCAACAGUGAGCACAAGGUUGAGCUCAAGGAAAAAUUCCAGCGCAUGUGCGACAAAUCCAUGAUCAAGAAGCGUUACAUGUACUUGACUGAAGACAUUCUAAAAGAGAACCCAACUAUGUGUGAGUACAUGGCCCCUUCCCUUGAUGCCAGGCAGGACAUGGUGGUUGUUGAAAUUCCAAAACUCGGCAAAGAAGCUGCCACCAAGGCCAUUAAGGAAUGGGGCCAGCCCAAGUCCAAAAUUACCCAUUUGGUCUUUUGCACCACCAGUGGUGUGGACAUGCCUGGGGCGGACUACCAGCUCACCAAGCUCUUGGGCCUCCGCCCGUCCGUGAAGCGCCUCAUGAUGUACCAACAAGGGUGUUUCGCCGGCGGCACGGUGCUCAGGUUGGCCAAGGACUUGGCCGAGAACAACAGGGGUGCUCGUGUUCUCGUUGUGUGCUCGGAGAUCACAGCGGUCACCUUCCGUGGGCCCAAUGAUACCCACCUUGACAGUUUAGUUGGGCCAGGCCUUAUUUGGGUGAUGGUGCAGCAGCUAUUAUUGUGGGUUCGGACCCAAUUCCCGAGAUCGAGAGCCCCUUGUUUGAAGUGGUGUCAGCAGCCCAAACC